rnacentral:lncRNA from 1 species
AACUCAACUCAAAGUGGAUCAAGGACCUAGGAAUGAGACCAGAGACCCUGUGCCUAAUAGAAGAAAAAGUAGGCCCAAAUCUCCAUCAUGUCAGAUUAGGCCCCAACUUCCUUAAUAAGACUCCUAUAGCGCAAGAAUUAAAACCAAGAAUCAAUAUGGAUUCAAACUAAAAAGUUUUUUUUCUCAGCAAAAAAAAAAAAAAAAACAAUCUGUGAGGUGAACAAAUAACCUACAUCCUGGGAGCAAAUUUUUACCCCUCACACAUCAGAUAGAGCAUUAGUCUCUAGAGUAUAUAAAGAACUCAAGAAGAUAAGCACCAAAAACAAAAAACCCAAUAAAUAAAUGGGCCAAGGACCUGAACAGACCCUUCUCAGAAGAUGAUAUACAAUCAAUCAACAAAUAUAUGAAAAAUGCUCAUCAUCUUUAGCAAUUAGAGAAAUGAAAAUCAAAACUACUCUAAGAUUUCAUCUCACCCCAGUCAGAAUGCCAGCUAUUAUGAGGACAAACAACAAUAAGUGUUGGUGAGGAUGUGGGGGAAAAGGUACACUCGUCCUUUGCUGGUGGGACUGCAAAUUGGUGCAGCCAAUAUGGAAAGCAGUAUGGAGAUUCCUUGGAAAAUUGGGACUGGAACUACCAUUUGACCCAGCUAUCCCUCUCCUCGGUGUAUACCCAAAAGACUUAAAAACAGCACACUACAGGGACACAGCCACAGCAAUGUUUAUAGCAGCACAAUUCACAAUAGCUAAACUGUGGAGCCAACCUAGAUGUCCUUCAGUGGAUGAAUGGAUACAAAAAUGUGGUAUUUAUACACAAUGGAAUAUUACUCGGCACUAAAAAAGAAUAAGAUCAUGGCAUUUGCAGGGAAAUGGAUGGCAUUAGAGAAGAUUAUGCUAAGUGAAGUUAGCUAAUCCCCCCAAAACAAAUGCUAAAUGUCUUCUCUGAUAUAAGGGGGUGACUCAAAAUGGGGUUGGGAGGGAGACCAAGGGAGGAAGAUUACCUCUAGAUAGG